rnacentral:rRNA from 1 species
UCCUACGGGAGGCAGCAGUGAGGAAUAUUGGUCAAUGGGCGAGAGCCUGAACCAGCCAAGUAGCGUGCAGGAUGACGGCCCUAUGGGUUGUAAACUGCUUUUGUAUGGGGAUAAAGUUAGGGACGUGUCCCUGUUUGCAGGUACCAUACGAAUAAGGACCGGCUAAUUCCGUGCCAGCAGCCGCGGUAAUACGGAAGGUCCAGGCGUUAUCCGGAUUUAUUGGGUUUAAAGGGAGCGUAGGCUGGAGAUUAAGUGUGUUGUGAAAUGUAGACGCUCAACGUCUGACUUGCAGCGCAUACUGGUUUCCUUGAGUACGCACAACGUUGGCGGAAUUCGUCGUGUAGCGGUGAAAUGCUUAGAUAUGACGAAGAACUCCGAUUGCGAAGGCAGCUGACGGGAGCGCAACUGACGCUUAAGCUCGAAGGUGCGGGUAUCGAACAGGAUUAGAUACCCUGGUAGUCCGCACAGUAAACGAUGGAUGCCCGCUGUUGGUACCUGGUAUCAGCGGCUAAGCGAAAGCAUUAAGCAUCCCACCUGGGGAGUACGCCGGCAACGGUGAAACUCAAAGGAAUUGACGGGGGCCCGCACAAGCGGAGGAACAUGUGGUUUAAUUCGAUGAUACGCGAGGAACCUUACCCGGGCUUGAAUUGCAGAGGAAGGAUUUAGAGAUAAUGACGCCCUUCGGGGUCUCUGUGAAGGUGCUGCAUGGUUGUCGUCAGCUCGUGCCGUGAGGUGUCGGCUUAAGUGCCAUAACGAGCGCAACCCCUCUCUUCAGUUGCCAUCAGGUUAAGCUGGGCACUCUGGAGACACUGCCACCGUAAGGUGUGAGGAAGGUGGGGAUGACGUCAAAUCAGCACGGCCCUUACGUCCGGGGCUACACACGUGUUACAAUGGCCGGUACAGAGGGACGGUGUAAUGCAAAUUGCAUCAAAUCUUGAAAGCCGGUCCCAGUUCGGACUGGGGUCUGCAACCCGACCCCACGAAGCUGGAUUCGCUAGUAAUCGCGCAUCAGCCAUGGCGCGGUGAAUACGUUCCCGGGCCUUGUACACACCGCCCGUCAAGCCAUGAAAGCCGGGGGUGCCUGAAGUCCGUGACCGCAAGGAUCGGCCUAGGGCAAAACUGGUGAUUGGGGCUAAGUCGUAACAAGGUAGCCGUACCGGAAGGUGCGGCUG